GCCAACGACUAUACCAUGCAGAAACUACUGGUUCUCAUUCAAUCAUCAAAGUCAAGCUACAUCGAGUACAUACUUGGAUAGGUGAUUGCUUGCGAACAGCGUAUAUUGUUGAUA
rnacentral:rRNA from 1 species